rnacentral:rRNA from 1 species
CCUACGGGAGGCAGCAGUAGGGAAUAUUGCUCAAUGGGGGAAACCCUGAAGCAGCAACGCCGCGUGAAGGAUGAAGGUUUUAGGAUUGUAAACUCCUUUUGUUAGAGAAGAUAAUGACGGUAUCUCACGAAUAAGCACCGGCUAACUCCGUGCCAGCAGCCGCGGGAAUACGGCGGGUGCAAGCGUUACUCGGAAUCACUGGGCGUAAAGAGUGCGCAGGCGGGCUUGUAAGUCAGAUGUGAAAUCCUGUAGCUUAACUACAGAACUGCAUUUGAAACUAUGAGUCUAGAGUGUGGGAGAGGUAGGUGGAAUUCGUGGUGUAGGGGUAAAAUGCGUAGAUAUCAAGAGGAAUACUGAUUGCGAAGGCGACCUACUGGAACAUUACUGACGCUCAUGCACGAAAGCGUGGGGAGCAAACAGGAUUAGAUACCCGAGUAGUC